AAGAAGAAGAUCAGAUUGUCAAUUUAAACAUACUAUUUACAGUUUUGUUAGUAUUUUGCUGUCUUUGCGCACUCUGCUGCAUUCCAUUACUGAUUGGAUACUUCUGCGGCCUGCGCGGCUACAGAAACGAUCCUUACGUGUAUUAUUGAGCCUCAAUAUUUGUUGAGUGUGAAAAUACAUUAUGGAUUACUAUGAUCAAAAUGUCAAUCCAGAUUGUUGUUCAAAUUUACAUCAGAUGUGGGAAUACUAUGCUGUGGAGUUACCUGUACAUUUUCAGUUUAAGGCCAAAGCAAAAGACACAUCCGAUCCUUGAUUAGUCGUAUAAACUUUCUUAGUAAUAUUCAAACGCAGAUUGUAGGAAAAUAUAGAAACAGAAUAGUUGAAGUUAUCAUAUUUCAAAUCUCAUCACAGCUUCCUUGAUUGCUUAGUACUUCAAAAAGGCAUCAACAAAACCUGUUUAGAAUAAUAUAAUUUACGAAAAUUUCCUUGUGUAUAUUUUAACAGCCAUAAAUCAAAACAAGAGCAUGCCUUGCCUUCCAAGCAAUUCACAUUUCAGACUGAAAAAUUAUAAAAAUUAAAAUGAGCAAUUAUAUGAAAAUCGACGGAUUUAAAGCUGUUGCAUCUACAACUCUGUGCCCUAAGACAGAAUCCGAAGAUGAGCUUAUUAAUUUAAACAUUCUAUGGAUAGUUUUAUUAGUAUUUUGCUGUCUUUGCACCUUCUGCUGCAUUCCAUUACUGAUUGGAUACUUAUGCGGACUGCGCGGCUACAGAAACGAUCCUUACGUGUAUUAUUGAGCCUCAAUAUUUGUUUAGGUACAAAUUUCAGUUUAGAUUGUUUCUUAAAUCUAAAUCAGAAGUGCAAAUAUUUUUCCAGAUAAAAAAAUGAGUGCCAAAGGAUCGCCGAGUACCUCAUCAUUUGUGGACCAAAAAGUUGGAGAUGCGUCGCUAGUUGCAGUACCUCUUUGGAUUAUUCUCACAAUUGCUUUAUGCUGUUGUUGCUGUCUGAUUAGUCCUAUAGUUGCGAUUGUAAUGUAUCUCUUCAGAACUUGCCGUAGACCACAUUACUAAAGAUCAACAAAUACAGAGAACUUAAACUGCUU